UCUUAUGGAUGAGCAAAGAAAGUAGAUUCUUCAGAUGGAAUCUACCCCUGGCACACACACAGUAAA
rnacentral:pre_miRNA from 1 species